GGCAUCCAUCCUGCCCGAUCGCUUCAGUAGUAUUGCCCUGCAAUAGCUUCUUGUAUGAGAGAUGCCCAGCUGCGGCGGGAAAGGUCCCGUGAGCCUCACCAGCCAGCGGCUGCUGAAGGAGCUGCCCCUGUCCUCGGGGUGCAGGUUGGGGCUGGGCGAGGAGCAGAGCCCCUUUGCGGGGGUUUCAGCUGGACACUACGCUUCUGUUGCCCUCUCUUACAGCCAGGCUUCUGCUUCGCAGUCGAGAGCUGAUUCCCGGCAGCUUGCGGUUUGAAAGCGUGCUCCUGCCCUGCUGAGGCUGUGGAAAGCAGCACACUUGCUUUUCCCUUGAAAAAGCCUUGAGUGAGCUCUUUUCCUCUGCUGUUGCUUCUGGACUCUCUUGCGACGGCCAUGGGAGAUGAUUUCCCCCUCUUUCUGCAAGAGGGCAGUGAUUGCCACCGAACUCUGCAUCUCGGGGCUUUGAGAAGAUGAUCGAGCACAGCCUCGAACCGGCGGGUGAGGAGCCGUGCCCGGCCUCGCUGCGGCAGGGGCGGUGAGGUGGCUGUGUCACUGGGAGGCGAGGGGACGGGCAG